CAUCAGAUGUGAUCAAAAGAGGACUCAGAUUGAAACCUUUUUUUAAUGGAAGUUCUAAUGGUUUCUUCCCACCUCAGUGGGCUGUCCUGGGCAUCCAGGGGCUGACCACUGUGGAGACCACUGCAUCCACCUCCAUCCUGUGGUACAGCUGCUUUUCCUUCCUCCUGCUCAUGGAAAGAUGGAAAGCUCCUCUCCUGAGCCUCCUUCUCUCCUCUCCCGCAGCAACACAGUGCCCUCUCCUUCCCCCUUCUCCCAAGAACCACUGCCCACCCCCAGGAGGCAGGGAAGAGGUGGCCCCCAGCAGGAAAAGUAUCACCAACCACUUCCAAGAAGCAGGGAGGUAGUGGCCUGAGCAGGAAAAACCAGAACCCCCUGAAGCAAAGGGAGAUGAAGGGCUGCAUGUCACAGAGGCAACCUGUCUUCGUUGGAUUGCUGGAGGUUCAAGUCAGUCAAUGGACAACCCCCUGACACAGCCACUACAGUCCAUUCAGUCUCCUGGGCCCCAUGAUAACCUAGUAUACUUUGCCCUUUUAACACAGGAGAGCAGAAUGGACUUUAAGGAAGGAGAUAAUCUAAAUUAAACUUGGACCUCUUUUGGACACAUGUGCCUGGUACCAACACUCUUCUAUUCCCACCGUGGUAGAAAGAAGAUGGUGCUUGGAGCGUGUGGUGAGAUGAAUUCCUUUUGCCUUGGUUGUUUGGAAAACAACUUGAGAGAUUUCCCCCCUAAGCCCUGAGGAAUUACCUUUGCCCUUGUUUUCUACCACAGAGGGGUUGUUAUUUUGUCUGGGUUGAUUGACAUUUUCUGGGUAAACUGUAAUCAACUUGUGGUUUGAUACUUUUUGUCUAGUCCUGGGCUGCAGCCUGCUGUGUGAUUGGUAUGCACCUUGCAAGGAUGGGUCAAUACACUAUACAAAUGAAGUGUGUACAGCCAACUAUGCAAAUGAAUUGGCUGUGGCCCACCGAGCAGGGAUUGGUCAGUUUGUGGCCCUGGUGAGAGCGCCAUGCCUUGAAAUUUACAAGGAGUUUGUGUAUAUCUGGACCCAACCCUACAGAUGUCUUUCAGUCAGAAAGAAGCAGAAAGACAGGAAGCAGACAGAAGCAGAAGGAAGAAAGAAAAGGGAGAAGAAGCAGAGAGAGAAGAGGCAAAGAAUCUUCUAAAAGAGGUAUAACAUGGGUCAAGAGCUAUAAUGUGAAGACAGCGGCUGUAACACUGAAGACAGCGACAGGCCAAGAAGGGGCCCAGCAGCAGAGUCAGUGGUGAGAGAUGGCAGAGCCAAGAGAAGCCUGUCUUGAGGGGGCCGAGAGGAGGCCUGCACAGCUGGAAGAGCUGUCCUUCACUGAAGAAGAAAGACUUUGCCUACAUGCUUCCUGAUCCUGAGUUACUUCCUUAAUAAACCACUUAACCAGUUUGUGCCUUCUGUGGCAUCAGGCCUGAGAGCCAAGCCAAGUUCCUUCCUUGCUCAGAUGCUUCCUGAAGAUAGAAGCAGCUGGGGAAACCGAGUUUGUGCCUCAGUUUCCCAGCUCGGGUGAACAGUCCCUCCAGUGCUGGGAGAGGCUGGGGCUGCAGUAGGAGCUGAACCUCAAGGAGCGCUCACAUCUGGCCACUAAAGAUAAAAACAGCAGCUCCUGCCCUUCUCUGGCCACCUGUUGGAGACUGCCCAGACCAGCUUGACCAAUGUCCACACCCAGGGAGCAGCGCACCUUCAGCACGUGAAUUCACGUACUCCAGAUUGCCCCAGCCUCCAAGGGGAACUGGAUCUGUGCAGGCAAGCAUGCCCUCACCAUCUCCUACGAUGCCACGCACAACGCCUGCCACGUCACCAGCUUCGGGGGCACUAGCGUGUGGUGGGGCCUGGUGAUGAGGAAGCCAGGGGUCCCUGCUGUGUGCCCCUGACCAAGGGUGGCCUGCACCUGCCUGGGACACAGCCUUGCCCUCCUGAGAUAGCUCAGAGCAAGGCCUCCAAACCCUCUUCCAAAGUGAGCAGCAUCUGACCCAGGUAGGCCUGUGGGGUGGGGCUAGAGGACAGGAUGGGCCUAGGGCUUCCCCUGGGUGAACUGGGGACUUGGGGCAGUUCCGAAUGGGCGCAUGAAUUUGGACCAGCCUGAACGCCUUCCGGGUCUCUGGGUAGCACAGAUGGUUUGCACCUGAUGAGCCCUGGUGGCUCAGUGGUUAAAUGCUUGGCUGUUAACUGAAAUGUCAGCAGUGCAAACCCACCAGCAGCAAUUUGGGAGAAAGACCUAGUGAUCUCCUCCCAUAAAGAUUCCAGCCUAGCAAACUUCAUGGGGCAGUUCUACUGUGUCCUUUAGGAUCACUAUGAGUCAGAAUCAACUGACAGCACACAACAACAACACUAAUUGGAAGGUUGGUAGUUUGAACCCACUCCGUGGUGCCCUGGAAGAAAGGCCUGGCAAUCUGCUUCUGUAAAGAUUUGUUGUUGUUAGGUGCCAUCGAGUCGGUUCCGACUCAUAGCAACCGUACAACAGAAUGAAACACUACCCGGUCCUGCACCAUUCUCACCAUCGUUGUUAUGUUUGAGCCCAUCGUUGCAGCCAUUGGGUCAGUCCAUCUCGUUGAAGGUCUCCCUCUUUUUCUCUGACUCUUUACCAUGCAUAUGAUGUUCUUCUCCAGGGACUGGUCUAGCCUUAUAACGUUUCAAAGUAUGUGAGAAGAAGUGCUUCCAAGGAGCACUCUGGCUGUAUUUCUUCCAAAACAGACUUGUUGGUUCUUCUGGCAGUCCAUGGUAUAUUCAAUAUUCUUUGCCAACACCAUAAUUCAAAGCGUCAAUUCUUCUUCUGUCUUCCUUAUUCGUUGUCCAGCUUUUGCAUGUAUACGAGACGAUUGAAAAUAUCAUGGCUUGGGUCAGUCGCACCUUCGUCCUUAAAGUGAUGUCUUUACUUUUUAACACUCUAAAGAGGUCUUUUGCGGCACAUUUGUCCAAUGCAAUACGUUGUUCCAUUUCCUGACGGCUGCUUCCAUGGGCGUUGAUUGUGGAUCCAAGUAAAAUGAAAUCGUUGACGUCAAUCGUUUCUCCAUUUAUCAGGAUGUAGCUUAUUGGUCCAGUUGUGAGGUUUUUUUUUUUUUUUAUGUUAGAGUAUAAUCCAUACUGAAGGCUACGGGCUUUCAUCUUCUUCAGUAAGUGCUUCAGGUCCUCUUCAUUUUCAGCAAGCAAGGUGGGUCAUCUGCAUAUUGCAGAUUUUUAACCCACCACAGCGGACACGACAUUCUUCUUCAUAUAGUCCAGCUUCUCAGACUAUUUGCUCAGCAUACAGAUUGAAUAAAACAGGUAUGGUAAAAGAAUGCAACCCACACCUUUUUUUAAUUUUAAACCAUGCAGUAUCCCCUUGCUUUGUUCAAAUGACUGUCUCUUGGUCUAAGUACAGGUUCCUCAUGAGCACAAUUAAGUCUUCUGGAAUUCCCAUCCUUCGUAAUGUUAUCCAUAAUUUGUUGUGAUCCACACAGUAGAAUGCCUUUGCUUGUCAGUAAAACACAGGUAAACAUCUUUCUGGUAUUCUCUGCUUUCAGCCAAGGUCCAUCUGACAUCAGCAAUGAUAUCCCUGGUUCCACGUCCUCUUCUGAAUCCAGCUUGAAUUUCUGGCAGUUCUCUGUUGAUGUACUGCUGCAGCCGUUUUUGAAUGAUCUUCAGCAAAAUUUGGCUUGCAUGUGAUAUUAAUGAUAUUGUUCAACAAUUUCUGCAUUCUGUUGGAUCACCUUUCUUUGGAAUGGGCACAAAUAUGGACCUCUUCCAUCACUUGGCCAGGUAGCUGUCUUCCAAAUUUGUUGACAUAGAUGAGUGACCACCUUCAGCACUGCAUCCCUUUAUUGAAAUAUCUCAAUCAGUAUUUCGUCAAUUCUUGAAGCCUUGUGUUUUGCUGAUGCCUUCAGUGCAGCUUGGACUUCUUCCUUCGGUACCAUUGGUUCUUGAUCAUAUGCCACCUCCUGAAAUGGUUGAACAUCGACCAAUUCUUUUUGGUACAGUGAUUCUGUGUAUUCCUUCCAUCUCUUUUGAUGCUUCCUGCAUUGUUCGAUAUUUUGCCCAUAGAAUCCCUCAAAAUUGCGACUCAAGGCCUGAAUUUUUUCUUCAGUUUCAAUUUCUUCAGCUUGAGAAGGGCCAAGCAUAUUCUUCCCUUUUGGUUUUCUAACUCCAGUUCUCUGCACAUUUCAUUACAGUAUUUUACUUUGUUUUCUUGAGCUGCCCUUUGAAAUCUUCUCUUCAGCUCUUUUACUUCAUCAUUUCUUCCAUUUGCUUUAGCUACUCUGUGUUCAAGAGCAAGUUUCAGAGUCUUUUUUAACAUUCAUUUUGAUCUUUUCCUGGACUGCCAGAAGAAUGAACAAAUCUGUCUUGGAAGUACAGUCGGAAUCCUCCUUAGAAGCAAGGAUGGCCAGACUUCAUCUCACAUACUUUGGACAUGGUAUCAAGAGGGAUCAGUCCCUGGAGAACAUCAUGCUUGAUAAAAUAGAGCUCAGCGAAAAAGAUGAAGACCCUCAACAAGACGGAUUGACACCCUGGCUGCAACAAUAGGCUCAAGAAUAACAACAAUUGUGAGGAUGGCACAGGACCUGGCAGUGUUUCGUUCUAUUGUACAUAGGGUGGUUAUGAGUCAGAAGCAACCAGACUGCACCUGACAACUAACAACAACAUAUCUCAAAAGAGAAUGACUCAAGGUGCACCCUAACUCUGCUUCAUUAACAUAACAAACACAACCUAGUCACAGGUGGGAUUAUAACCACAGGCAGAGUUUAGGAUUUAAAACACAUAUUUUGGGUGGACACAAUUCAAUCCAUUAUAUUUAACUAUUUGGACUCCAAAAAUACAUGUCCUUGCCACAAGUAAAACACAUUCACCCCACCACAUCAUCCCAAAAGUCUUAAAAUCUACCCUAAUUCCAAAAUCUCGUAUUCUGAAUCAUCUAAAUAUAGAUGAGACUACAGGCAUAUUCCAUCCUGGGGCAAAAUUCCUCUUGAUCUGUGAACCUGUGAAAUCCGGAAUACAAGUUACCUGUUUCCAAAGUACAAUGAUGGAACAAGCACAAGGUAGACAUUUCCAUUGCAAAUGGGAGAAACUGGGGGGAAAGAAGGGGUAACAGUUACCAAGCAAGUCCCAAACUCAGCAGAACAAAUUAUAUUAUCUCUCAAGGCUUGAAAGUAAUCCUGUCUUCUCUGAGAUCAUCUAGGCAAUGGCCCUAUCCUCCAGACUCUGGGUGUUAGCCACACCCUCUGGAUUCUGGGUGGAGGCCCCUUGGCCCUGAGUUUCAGCUCCGCCUUCCAGGCCCACUGGGAUGGCGACUGGGCUCCCUUGGCUUUAGGAAUCAUCUCCAUUCUCCUAGGCUUUCUACGUGGCAGCCCCAUCCCUUCGGCCCUGGCAGGCCCCAUUCUUCUGCCUCUUGGGCAUGGCAGGCCCACCCCCUGAGAUUUGGGCAGCCCCAACCCCCUGGCACACCUUAACAGCAGCCGUACACUCAGGAACCAAGUUGGUAAAUAUCCAACUCUUUGAAAUCUAUGAGGCUGUGACCUCACCCUUGAAACCAAGAAGGCCCUGCAUCCCAUGCUCCUUGCAACAGUUCUGCUGAUUUUCUAGCUGCUCCAUAGAUGGUCCUUUUCUUUUCUUGGAAGACAAAAGAUGUAGCUCCUUUGGCCUGUUUGAUGCCUGUAGAAUUCCAAGAGGCAGACAGCAUUCCUUCCUUUCAUUUUUUCUCUGUCCCCUUCAGACUAAGGUGAAAGUUUUUCCGCUGUGGUAGUGGGUUCGAUCCAUCAGUCACAGGCGUGAUCACUUUAACAAAAGAUUGUGUUGCCACAUCCUUGGUGAAAAUUCUAGGACAAAUGUCCUUAGUUUGUACCACAGAAUUUUCCAAAUCUUUAAGUUUUGUUUCCAUUUUGCGCAGUUUAUUUUUAAGUCCAUCUCUUUCCUUUCACAUUUUACUAUAAGUGGCAAGGAGAAACCAUGUGACUCCUUUGAGAUCUUGCUUAGAAAUCUCAUCAGCCAGAUAUCCAGGCUCAUCACUUACAAGUUCUACCUUCCACCAAACAUUUGAACAUAAUUCAGACAAGUUCUUUGCCUUGGCAUAAAAAGCAUCACCCUUCAUCCACUGUCCAGUCAGAUGGUCAGCAUUUUCUUUUAAAGCCUCACCAGAAGCACAUUUAACGUCCACAUUUCAAUGUUGCUGGCGCCAUAUGUAUUCUCUAAGACGUUAGAGACUUUCUGUACAGCUCUUGUCAAUUCCUUCUGAGCCCUUACCAGAAUUGCCUUUGAUGUUCAUAAUUCUACCAACAGCCUCUUCAAGCAAUCUAGGCUGUUACUAUUAGGCACCUUAAAACUCUUCCAGCCUCUACCCAUUACCCAAUUCCAAAACUGCUUCCACAUUUUAGGUAUCUGUUAGAGCAGCACCCCACUCUUCCAGUACCAAAUUCUUUCUCAGUUAUCUAGUGCUGUUAUACAGAAAUACCAGAAACCGGUGGCUUUAACAAACAGACAUUUAUUUUCUCAUAGCUUAGGAGGCCAGAAGUCUGAAUUUAGGGCACCAGCUCUAGGAGAAUGCUUUCUUUCUCUGUCAGCUCAGAGGAAGUUCCUUGUUCCUUUGAGCUUCUUCUCCUGGGCCAUCUUCAUGUGCCUUGGCAUCUCUCUUCCCCAUUACUGCUUCUCUCACUUGCUUGUUUAAUCUUUUCUAUAUCUCAAAACAGAAGGACCCUAAUCUUGCCUCAUUAAGAUAAUAAACACAACCUAAUCCUCACUGACGUAACCUAAUCCUGCUUUAUUAACAUGAGAAGCACAACCCAUUCACAAAUGGGAUUAUAGCCCCAGGCAGAGGUCAGGAUUUACAACACAUAUUUUGGGGGGAUAUGAUUCAAUCCAUGACUUACGGUAAUGGGGCUGCUCCAGGACAGAAGUUUCCACUGUGACCUCAUUUCAGGUUCUCCACCCAUGGAGCUCUGUCUUGUGUUCCCCACCCCCUUCUCCAGGCAGCCCAGAGCCCAGACGGACCCCAGGCUCCCCCCCUCUGGUUCCCCUAGGCUCAUUCCUGGGUUCCCUGGGCUGGGGUUGUCCAUGACCGGCUCUGUCUAGCCCACCUGGGGCCUCCUAACUUGGGCCAGAGUCUUAGCUCCAAACCUUCAACAUGGAUCAAGGAACAAUGAAGGAAUGCACUUUGUACGAAGUCUCAAGUCCUGACAACCAGCCCUCCACCCUUCAUGGGGCCUGACUCCAGGUGGGACAGACAGGAAGACCCAGGCCGAGUGCCAGCUCUGGGGGUAACAGGAGUGACCCCUAGCAAGGCCUUCCUCUCUGGGGCCUCCGUUUCCUCAGUGGAGACAUUGGAUGAGGCGUGAGUAUGAAGUCCAGCCGGCAAGAAUCCAAAAUGUACCGUGAAUGGAAAAAGCUGGUUUAUAUGGUACUUACAUAGUUGUUUUAGUAUAUUAUAGUGUACUAUAUCACACAAAUGUAUAAAUGCAUGAUCACAGACAUUCUGGAAAACUCCACACCCACCUAUUAUAAGGGUUCCUUUGGGAAGUGGGUGGGCGCUGACGGUGAAAUCUUCACUGUUUGUGGGGUUUGGCCUGGGACGAAUCUCCCAACAUCACUGAUUUUCACUGGACUGAUCUCCUGUCCAUCGAUAUCAGCCAACUUCACAAUGGAGGAACUGAGGCCCAGGACAGUCUGACUCUAGAGCCCAAGCUCUAUCCACCAGAUUUUCUGGCCAGUUUUGUCUGGUUUCUAAGCUCUCCUUACACAUGCUCACACAGGCACACACCUGUAUACACAUACGGUCACACGUGCACACAGCUACACAUGUACACCCAUGCACACAGGCACACAUCUGCAAUGCACUUACAUCCAUAUGCAUGCACCCUUGUACACAGAUACACACUCACGUGUACAGAUACACAUGCACACACAUGCAUACUCACAUGGACACAAUGCAGACAAAACCCACACAUGUGCAAACACACACACACAGGCAUGCCCACAUAGUACCUACCUUUCACACGUGUACACACAUAGAUACCCACACACACUUUAGUUUUCCCACUGAGCCGUUGCUCAUGGUCCUGGGAACUCUGACAGACUCCCCAGGAAUCCAUGCUCUGCAGGGGAUCUGGCAUCAGCCCCUUCCUACCCGCCCCAAGAGGGGGCGCUCAUGAGCUGAGCUUUGCUGGGUUUUUCUGGGGAGAUUGGACAUGGAAGUCCUGCCUCCCUGGUCUUGGUGUUCCUAGUCCAGGAGUGAGAGGUGAGCUUUCAGCUUCAAGAUUCCGGCUUCCACAUCCUGAGAAUUCUGCUGGGAGGCAGGCAGCUCAGCCCAAAGCAGAACUCGAGGGUCAGACAGGCUGGGUUUGAGUCCUCAGCCCUAACAUGUCCUUGGUGUGCUAUGCGACCUGGCCAAGUGAUCCACCUCCCUGAGCCUCAGUUUCCUCAUUUGCAACAUAGGAAAACCAUAGUUUCCACUGCAAGGAGUCCGGGCAUUAGUGCCCAGCAUGUUGUACAGCUCCCAGGCAUCAACUGCAUGAUUCCAUCGUACUGGUGUCCUGGGGGCCUGCCCCAGCCUGAGUGGAGGUACCCUCUUCUUUCUGGCUUCUAACUGAGCUAAAAUUCACAUAACACAGACUUACCCAUUAAAAAAAAAUUUUUUUUGUUAAAAAUUUUUGUUUAAAAAAAAAAAGCAAGGCCUGCCUGUAGGAAAAAAAAAAAACUCAUUGCCAUCAAGUUGAUUCUGACUCAUAGGGAUCCUAACAGGACAGAGUGGAACUGCCCCAUAGAAUUUCCAAGCAGCACCUGGUGGAUUCAAACUGCCGACCUUUUGAUUAGCAGCUGUAGCACUUAACCACUAUGCCUGGAAUAUUAUCUAGUGCAUAUCAUUGCCUCAUGCUGAAAUAUGAACAGGAAAUUAAGGUUAACCAGGUGUUAUGGAUUGAAUUACUGAAGUCCUCACCCCUGUAACUGUAAAUGUGACAUUGUUUAGAAAUAGGGUCUUUCCUUCAAUAUGUUAUCAGUUCAGUUAAACGAGAUCAUACAAGAAUAGGGUGAGUCCUAAUCCUAAUCUCUUCUGAGUGGUGUCUUAUGAAAGGGGAAAACAGACAUGAAAACAGACACACACACGGGAAGACAGAUGCCAUGUGACAAUGGAGUCAGACACAUCUACAAGCAGCAACGGAACGCCGAGGACUGCUGGCAGCCACCCAAAGCUAGGAGAGAGGCAGUGAACAGUUCUUCUCUCAAAGUCCUCAGAAAGAAUCGACAUGGCCGAUAUCCUGAUUUGGACUCCUAGUCCUCAGAACUAUGGGACAAUAAAUUUCUGGUCUUUAAAGCCAAAAUAACAACAAUAAUACAUGUGUGAUAAAAUAUACAUAACAAAACGUUUGCCCUUUUGACCAUUUUUUAUUGUUAUAAAAAUAUAUAUAACAAAACACUGUCCAAGUCAACAUUUUUCAGGUGUACAAUUUAGUGAUAUCAAUGACAUUAUCAUGUUUCAAUCACGUUUGUGUGUACAGUUCAAUACACUGAUUACAUUCACCACCUUGUGCAACCAUCACCACUGUCCGUUUCCGGAUAUUUUCAUCAUCCUUCACAGAAGCUCAGUGCUCAUUAAGCAAUAGCGCUUCCUUUCCCCUCCCAAACUUAACCGUUUUAAAAGUGCUUAACUCAGUGGUUUGUAUUCUAUUCACAGGGUUGUGCAACCAUCGCCACUGUCUAGUUCUAGAAUAUUUGCAUCACCCCAAAAAGAAUCUUCAUACUCAUUAGCCAUCACUCAUCAUCUCCCUUCCCCCAAGCCCUGUUGUUGUUAUUAGGUGCCAUCCAGUCAAUUUUGAUCCAUAGCGACCCCAUGAGACAGGGUAGAACUCCCCCACAGGGUUUUUGAGGCUGUAAUCUUUAUGGGAGCAGGUUGCCAUGACUUUCUCCUGUGGAGCCCUGGGUGAGUUUGAACCACCAAACUUUCAGUUAGCAGCCAAGCACUUAACCAUUGUGCCACCAAGGCUUCUUUCCCAAGCCUUGACUCAUUGCCGACAAGUCAAUUCCCACUCAUAACAACUCUAUGAGUAUUCCCAAGCCCUAGGCAACCACUGAUCUACUUUGUUUCUUUGGAUUUCCCUGCUCUGGGUAUUUCAUUUGAAUGGAAUUAUAUACUACGUGGUCUUUUGUGUCUGCCUUCUUUUACUGCGUAUAAUGUUUUCAAGGUUCAACCACAUUGGCAACAGGUAUCAGAGCUCCUUUUAUUUUUAUGGCUGAAUAAUAUUCUGUUGGGUGGAUGGAACACAUUGUGUUUAUCCAUUCAUUUACUGACGGACAUUUGGGUUGUUCCUAUUUUGGGACUAUUGUGAAUAAUGCUGCUAUAAACAUUGAUACGUUUCUGUGUGGAUGUAUGUUUUCCUUUCUCUUGAGUACAUACCUACGAGUGGGAUCACUGGGUCAUAUGGUAAUUCGUGAGCAAUCGACACACUAUUUUCCACAGCGGCUGCACCACACUCAGUCUUUGUACAGCCUGAUCGAGGAUGGUGUCUUAAAAAGCCUGGGUACCCUCUACCCCGUGGGGCAAACCCACUGAUACCAGAACCCCGGGGGGAUAAAUGUUUGAUGUCCACAGACGUGUCCAGCAGCCUCAUGUCCCCAGCAAAAUCCUGGGGACAUAGCAAAUAGAGGGAAGGUUGGAAUAAGUUAAGGUGCCUUCAGCUGUGAAAUAAUGCAGAGCUUUGAAAAAAUGAGUUCCAUGCUGGAGGAUAACAGCCGGCUUUAGAGGACAGUGUGUGAUGUUAUUUUUGUAACAAUUCUGUAAAAAGUAGACAAAAAAGCAAAAACCAUGUACGGGGAUAAGUGCGUUGGGCUGAGUUGGAGCACAAAGAGGUGUCUUGGGGGAGGCAGAUGGUAUGGGGUAGGCCUUCCCCACCUCCCCCCAUGCCAUGUGCCCCACUGUCCCCCCCAUCUGACCUCGCCUCAGGCAUUUUGAAUGGAAAAUUCACUGAAGAAUGGUGAAAGGAAGUGAAACUGGGGAAGCACAUGCUGGCGGUAAUUGUCCCCUUUGUUUGGAGGCAGCUGUGAGCUUGGGAGAACAAGCAGCAGAUUUGAUCAAAAGCUUUUCUCCUGUGUAAAAUGGGUGAGGAGGCCUGGCUUCCUCUGGCGCUGUGUGUCUUCACUGGCUGCCAGGAAAGUCUCCCUCUGACAUCUCCCAGGCAGUCUGUCUUUGCCUUCACCCAUGUAAUGGUCCCUUCAUUCAUUCACCACACAUUUGAGGAGCACCUUAACCCUGGUAAAACCCCCUGUCUGUUAUAGAUUGAAUUUGUCCCCCUAAAAAUAUGUGUUGAAAUUCUAAACCCUGUACUUGCAGUCGUAAGCCCAUUUGGGAAUAGGUUUUUUUGUUACGUUAAUGAAGUCAUAUCGAUGUAGGGUAUGUCUUAAGCCUACUCACUUUCCAGAUAUAAAAGGAGCAGAUUUGGCACAGGAGCAAGCACAGAGGGGAAGAUAGAUGCUGCGUGGACAUCGCCAAGGAAUCGAGGAACGCCAGGACUACAGAAACUAAAAGAGAUCUUCCACGAGAAACAACAGAGAGCGAGCCUUCCCCUAGAGCUGGUGCCCUGAAUUUGAAUUUCUAGCUUCCUGAACUGUGAGAAUAAAAAAUUUCUAUUCUUUAAAACUACCCAUUUGUGGAAUUUCUGUUACAGCAGCACUAGGAGGCUAAGACCCCGUUCGACAUCUAAAACCACAAAUGACAAGCUGAGGGCAGUGACUUAAAGGAAACCUCCGAGGUACAAAGAAAGGGCAUCCAACUUGGGGCUGGUCUACUGGAAGGUGUCAUUUCACCAGAGACCUGAAGGAUGAAUGAGAGCACAUGCAAAGCCCCUGAGGUGGAAACAAGCUUGGAUGUCAGAGGAGCAGGGAGGAGGCUGGUGUGGCUGGAGAGAAGGAGAUGAGGAAAGGAGACAGGGUGGGGGGCUGUAGGGUGGGACCACACAAGGGCUCCUGGGAUGGGAGAGGAAUGUGAGUUUCAUCUUGAGGCAAUGGGAGCCAUGGGAGGCUUCAGAGCACAGCAGGGACAUGACCUGAUUCAUAUAGUGUGUGUGUAUUUAAGUAUAACACAAAACUUACCGUUCUGAAGUGAACAGCUCAGUGGUAUUUAGUACAUUGCCAGAGUUGUGCAACCACCACCUCUAUCUAGUUUCAGAACAUUCUCAUCACCCUAAAUGGAAACUCCACCCCCAUUGGCAGUUGCUCCCCAUUCCCUUUCCCUCAGCCUCUGACAACCAUGAAUCUGUUUUCUGUCUCUAUAGAUUUGCCUGUUCUGGACAUUUCAUGUAAGUGGAGUCAUACAACAUAUGGUCUUUGUAUCAGGCUCCUCCAAUUUGUACUUUUUAAAGAGCAGACUGGAAGGGCAGGAGGGGAGGCCAACACUCCGCUCCUGAAGGGCUGCCUGAGGGGCUGGAGCAACCUUUGCCUGGAGCUCACUGGAGGCUCAGAAGUGUCUGAAGUCAAUGCUCCAUGAAGACCUGGGUAGGGAAGUCCAGAAGCAAGAAGAGGAGGGGUGGAGGCCAGGCAAGGACAUGUGUCCGACAGUCCAGGGGAGGGCAACUUUGGCUUUGGCCUCCGGGGAGACAUGGAGACGCUUCGUGCUUAAGGGCGAGGGAGUUGGGGUAUUUGUACUCCACACCACAGUCAUUGGUCCGGGCUGCCCCUGGGUGACUUUCUCGGAAAACCACUUGCUCACUGUAUGAGUCUCUUGUGUCUGCAGCAACAAAGAACCAUAAACUGGGUAGCUUAAAACAAUGGAAGUUUAUUCUCUCACAGCCCUGGAGGCCAGAAGUCUGAAUGCAGAAUGUCAGCAGGGCCACACUCCUUCCUUGACUCUUCCAGCAUCUGGUGGUUUCCAGGUGUUUCCUGGGCUUGUGGCUGCAUCACUCCAAUCUCCGCUCCAUCUUCGCGAGGCCUUUUCCUCUGUGGCUGUGUCUUCUUUUUUUAUAAGGUCUCCCAUCAUUGGAUUUAGGGCUCACUCGAAAUCCGGGUUGACAGCAUCUGAAGAUCCUUAACUGAUCUGCAAAGGCCCUCUUUCCAAAUAAAGUCACAUCCUGAGGUUCUGGGCGGACAUGAAUUUUGAGGGGACACAGUUCAAUCCCGUACAUUCACAAAUCCUUGGCGGAGGCUCUGCCCCAGGGGCCCAAUCUCAGGAAACGCGGGAGGCCAAGGUUAAAGUCACCACUGCCCUGAAGUCAGUCAGAGCCGCGGUCCCGUAUGCUGGUGGCUAUUUGGCAAAACGGCCUAGGUGUUCUCACUAGGAAGGCGAUUCCAUCGAUGUUCCCACCCUCCCGGGGCUGCGUCACAAAGCCUGGAUCUCAGAGUCAUUGUUUGAAACAUGCUGUUUGUUCUCAGAGUCCACCCCAGCCCCGUCACUUGAAAGGAACAUGGAGCCAAUCAUGGCCCUGACCUUCCCGGAAAUGGUCCCUGGAGCUUAUGACAGUUUCCCCGGAGGUCCAUCCUUAGAGAUGUCUACUAACUCUGUCCUCUGGCCUUCAACACCCUGGAUAGAUGGUUGCAGUGGCAGGGAUGGCCAGGGUCAACCCUGUCUUUCAGAAAGCCUUCCUGUAUCCACGUAAGCAACCUAUAGAAGCAAAGAAUAAACUUGGGCAUCCUUAGAUUCUAUUGGAUGAUUAUUUAACAUCGAGAUGGCGUGAGGCAGUCAGCACACAUACUUUCAUAUCAUCUUUGACAGCCACAAGUCAUCAUACAGAUGAGGAAACUGAGACCCAGAGAGGCUGGCUACCAACCCUCAUCACACUGCUAGUAAGGACUGUCUCAGAACUCUUUUGGCUGUAUAAAGCCAAAAAGGGAAUUCAUCAGUUAAUGGAACCAAAACUGAUGGCUUCAGGCUCAGCUGGAUCAAGGUGAUCCUAUAAACUCACCAGGGCACCAUCUGUCUCCAGUUCUUGGCUCUGCUGUCCUUCUGUCAGCUUCAUUCCCAGGUAGGCAAGAUGACGCCCAGCAGCCCUGGGCUGACCCUGUGAGCUUAAACCCAAAAACCAAUCCCAUUGCCAUUGAGUUGAUCCAACUCAUAGUGCCCCAUGUGUUACAGUGUAAAACUGAGCUCCACAGGGUUUUCUUGGCUAAAAUGCUUGCAACGGCAGAUCACCAGGCCUUUCUUCUGCAGCACCACUGGAUGGGUUACAAUGGCCAACCUUUAGGUUAGUAGUUGAGCACAAACUGUUUGUGCCACCCAGGGACCUCCUGUGAGUUUAAUCAACACAAAAAGAGCUCCGUUGCCCUACACCUUGGGCAGAAGCACCAAGAUUGCAUCUUACUGGCCAAUCUCAGUGGUCAGGGGCCACAAUGCACUGACCAGCAGGGCCUGGGUGACAUUGUUGAAAGGGGAGCUAACCACAUCAGACGCUGUUCACAGGAGAAGCAGGAACAGCUCCCAUGAGUUUGCAGAGUGAGGACUGGGACCCAGGCCUUCACCACUGACCUAUACCAUCUCAGCUGCUUUAUCAGGCACACUCACCCCUCAGAUGCUCCAACAUCACCACCCAUCAGCCCUGGGGAGGACCCCCAGGCCCCACUCCUUGUCCUAGUCCCUUCUCAGAGCCUCAGUUUCCUCAUCUGUAAAACGAGUCAUCAGGAGCAUCUUGCACUCAAUGACAGGUCAAAGGUCACACCGGUUUACAGAAAAUGAGGUCCAGGUGAUGAGCAUAAGGAGCGGACUUUUACUGAGUGAGGACAGGGUGCAGGUUGGGAGAGUUUUAGGUCCAGAUGCAACCGGAAAGUGCAGCGAGAAUGGGGCAAAUGAGAGCAGCUGGGGUACAGGGAGGUGGCUGUGGUCCGGCACUGCCAGGCCACCGCUGACGGCCGCAUUUAUCUUCCGCGCAAGGCCCAGUUCUAGUAUCCUCACAGCUCCUCCCAUCCCCCUCCUCUGCCCCAGUUUCUUGUUUACCCAUCUGUGGCCACAAUUUAUUUUCGGAUGAGAAGGUCUGUCCUCCUUGCUGUCUGUGGCCACCCGCCAAAGCCACUCGCCUUCCACGCCAAGAGAAGGGAGGCCAGGAAGAAUACAACCCAUCACCAAGAAGGCGAGAUUCUGGGAGG